GGAGGAGUCGCAUAGCUGGUCCAUUGCGGAGGUUUGCUAAACCUCUGAGCCGUUAAUCCGGCUCGCGUGGGUUCGAAUCCCACCUCCUCCG
rnacentral:tRNA from 1 species